GUUCAAGCUACCAAGGGUCUACGGUGGAUGCCUUGGUGUCGAGAGCCGACGAAGGACGUAGCAGGCUGCGAAAGCCCCGGGUAGCUGCCAAGCAAGCUCCGAUCCGGGGGUGUCCGAAUGGGGAAACCCGGCUGGGGUAAUGCCCAGUCACUCCGGUCUGAACACAUAGGGCCGGUAGAGGUAACCGGGUGAACUGAAACAUCUAAGUAACCCGAGGAAAGUAAAGCAACCGCGACUCCCUGAGUAGUGGCGAGCGAAACGGGAAGAGCCUAAACCGAUGUGGUGUGAUAGCCCGACGGCGUUGCCAUAUCGGUGUUGUGGGACCCGCCCGCCGGUGCGUCGGAACCGGCAGGAAGUUACAAAGCCGGGUGAUAGUAGAACAGGUCUGGAAAGACCGGCCAUAGAAGGUAAUAGCCCUGUACACGAAAUCACUCCGGUCUUCCGGUGGUGAUCCCGAGUAGCGUCGGGGAUAUCUGGCGUGAAUCCGCGAGGACCACCUCGUAAGGCUAAGUACUACUCGACGACCGAUAGCGGACUAGUACCGUGAGGGAAAGGUGAAAAGAACCCCGGCGAGGGGAGUGAAACAGUACCUGAAACCGUAGACCUACAAGCAGUGGGAGGGGGCGUUUAGACGCUCCUGACCGCCUGCCUUUUGAAGAAUGAGCCGGCGAGUUAGUGCUAUGUGGCAAGGUUAAGGCGUAGUCCGGAGCCGAAGCGAAAGCGAGUCUGAAUAGGGCGCACAGUCGCAUGGUCUAGACCCGAAGCCGAGUGAGCUAUCCAUGGGCAGGGUGAAGCGAGGGUAAGACCUCGUGGAGGCCCGAACCCACCUAGGUUGAAAACUGGGGGGAUGACCUGUGGAUAGGGGUGAAAGGCCAAACAAACUCGGUGAUAGCUGGUUCUCCCCGAAAUAGCUUUAGGGCUAGCGUCGCGUGUUCCGCUAUGGGGGUAGAGCACUGAUUGGGCUAGGGGGCUUACCCGCUUACCAAACUCAGUCAAACUCCGAAUCUCAUAGUGCCAAAGUGCGGCAGUCAGACCGUGUGGGAUGAGCUUCACGGUCGAAAGGGAAACAGCCCAGAUCGCCGGCUAAGGCCCCUAAGUGUGUGCUAAGUGGGAAACGAGGUAGAAACGCCAAAACAGCCAGGAGGUUGGCUUAGAAGCAGCCAUUCCUUGAAAGAGUGCGUAACAGCUCACUGGUCGAGUGUUUCUGCGCGGAAAAUGUAACGGGGCUCAAGCACACCGCCGAAGCCGCGGGAUUUCAUCAUCAACUCCGGCGCAACCAAAGCGUUCGCGCUUUAAACGCGUCCAGAGGAUGGGAUCGGUAGGGGAGCGUCGAGCAGCCAGAGAAGCAGCGGCGUAAGCCAGCUGUGGAGGCUGCUGGAGUGAGAAUGCCGGUAUGAGUAGCGAGAGUGGAGUGAGAAUCUCCACCGCCGAAAGUCCAAGGUUUCCUGGGGAAGGCUCGUCCGCCCAGGGUUAGUCGGGACCUAAGGCGAGGCCGAAAGGCGUAGUCGAUGGAUAACUGGUUGAUAUUCCAGUACCACCAUGCAAACGUCCAGACCAAAUGCGGUCAGCUAAGAAGGGUCCUUCGGGACGCUUCGACCCGGCCACAGGAGGUCAGCAAUGGGAUGACGCGGAAGGGUAAGUGGACCCGGGCGUUGGUUGCCCCGGGGUAAGUGUGUAGGGCGAGGUCCAGGCAAAUCCGGACCUCAUGAAGCCAGAGGCACGAAGCCGAGCCGUAUUAGGCGAAGCCACUGAACGCCCAUGCCGCCGAGAAAACUCUCUAGCGAGUCUGCAUGGUGCCCGUACCCCAAACCGACACAGGUGGACAGGUAGAGAAUACCAAGGCGAGCGAGAUAACUCUGGUUAAGGAACUCGGCAAAAUGGUUCCGUAACUUCGGGAGAAGGAUCGCCCCGGUAAAGUGAAGGAUGAACAUCCGGAGCUUGAGGGGGCUGCAGUGACCAGGCCCGAGCGACUGUUUACUAAAAACACAGCAGCGUGCUAAGUCGCAAGACGCUGUAUACGCUGUGACGCCUGCCCGGUGCCGGAAGGUCAAGAGGAGGGGUUAGCUUCGGCGAAGCUCUGAAUCUAAGCCCCGGUAAACGGCGGCCGUAACUAUAACGGUCCUAAGGUUGAAGAAUUCGCAGCCUUAGUAAAACUGAACCAUAUGCGGGAAACUCCUCGCACAGCCGGCCGGUACUCGGCUGUUCUAUUAAAAGGGACAAUCAGUAAAAAUCCGGUCGGACAUGGGGACAAUCCGCAGGGAAGGUCCAAUCUGUAAUGGAAACCCUCAGAGACUUGACGUUCAGGAUUGAUCGAUGAAGCUUGACAGUCAGUGGAUCACAGGAUUCGUGGACGGUGAAGGAUGCUUCCACCUCGGGAUAAACCCACAUCCCGACAUGAAGACCGGCUUUCAGGUUCUGCCUGAAUUCACCGUUGUACAGCACGAACGCGAUGUGCAGGUGUUGCACGCUAUGAAAAGCCACUUCGGGUGCGGCGUGGUUCGCAGCAACCACGGCGACCGGAUGGCCUAUCGGGUGCGCAGCAUCGAGCAUUUGCUCGGUCGCAUCGUUCCAUUCUUUGUCAAGCACCCGCUGAAGACCAGAAAGCGGAUCGCGUUCGAGAAGUUUCGGCGCGUUCUGCUGCUGAUGGAAGCGGGCGAGCAUCUGACCGACGAAGGCGUUGAUCGGAUACGCCAGAUCGCCGGCCAGAUGAAUAGAGGUCAAUCAAGGUAAAGUCCGGCCCGCUUGGAAACAGGUGGGAUCAUCCGAGCGAAAUUCCUUGUCGGGUAAGUUCCGACCUGCACGAAUGGCGUAACGACUUGGGUACUGUCUCAACCAGAGACUCGGCGAAAUUGCAUUGUGAGUAAAGAUGCUCACUACCUGCGACAGGACGGAAAGACCCCGGAACCUUUACUGCAGCUUGACAUUGAUGUCUGGUAUACACUGUGUAGGAUAGGUGGGAGACCGCGAAACGGUGCCGCCAGGUACCGUGGAGUCACCCUUGAAAUACCACCCUUUGUAUGGCGGGCACCUAACUUAGGUCCGUUAUCCGGAUCAAGGACAGUGUCUGGCGGGCAGUUUCACUGGGGCGGUGGCCUCCUAAAGAGUAACGGAGGCGCUCAAUGGUUCCCUCAGUCUGGUCGGCAAUCAGACGACGAGUGCAAUGACACAAGGGAGCUUGACUGUGAGACUUACAAGUCGAACAGGGACGAAAGUCGGACAUAGUGAUCCUACCGUGGCAUGUGGAAGCGCGGUGGCUUAACGGCUAAAAGGUACUCCGGGGAUAACAGGCUCAUACCCCCCAAGAGUCCAUAUCGACGGGGGUGUUUGGCACCUCGAUGUCGGCUCGUCGCAUCCUGGGGCUGAAGCAGGUCCCAAG
rnacentral:rRNA from 1 species